rnacentral:misc_RNA from 1 species
UUGAUUACGUCCCUGCCCUUUGUACACACCGCCCGUCGCUACUACCGAUUGGAAGUUUUAGUGAGGCAUCUGGACUCGCCGGCCAUGGGAGGAGCAAUCCUCCUCGGCCUGGAGGGGAAGUUUGUCGAACUCAAAUUUCUAGAGGAAGUAAAAGUCGUAACAAGGUUUCCGUAGGUGAACCUGCGGAAGGAUCAUUACAAGUUUGUUGGAUGUCCUCCUGGACUUCUAGACACACAAUUUUAUCCACGACUCGCCGUUUCGGCGGCGAGUUGGUGACCAGAUGAAGUUAGGUCGUUCUAACAGUGGCUGCUCAUGAUAGUGGCAGUGGCCCGAGUUGAGGACCGAUCUGAGACGUGCUCAGGUUGCUGGCCAAGCGGGUCUGUGCUCUAGAUUGCAAGAGAGAGUUCAAAUCGCCCGCCGGCGUCAUGCGAAGUCGACUUGUGUUCGACGCUUGCAGUGUCCACGUCAGGCCAGCCAACUUAGGCGUCGCGUCGUAACACGACAACACACACAAGCAGCCUCGAGCUCGCGUGAAAACAACACUUAACCAACCAAACAAUAACAAAAGACAAAAUAAUCACAAUUAACGGUGGAUCACUUGGGUCGUAGAUCGAUGAAGAACGCAGCUAGACUGCGAUAGGCGGCGCGAACUGCAGAAUUAACUGAGCGCUUGGUAUUCGAACGCACAUUGCGGCUUUGGUUAGCAAUAACUAGAGCCUUGCCUGUAUGAGGGUCGGUUAGAACACAAGAUACUCCGUCUUGACCGACGGAGAUCGCGGCAGCAGCCGCUGGAAGGCCGACGUCCAGCUCGAAGGAGUAACAUCCCCAGGGUUGCGCGGCUCCUAUUGUUGACAGAGACCAGUUUGUGUCGCAUGUUUCUCACGAACGUGGCUCGACACCGAAGCUGGUAAGCCGGCUUGGAGUGCCAUCGCGGCCACUUCUUGCAAGCUCGAAUUUCGUCUUGCCCAGAAGAAACCGCGCUUGACCACUACUAGCCACUCAGGCGAACCAGUCUCGCGAGCAACGCACGUGCAGGCAACAGAUGCCUCACUACGACAACCCCAAACUCAGUCGACCUCAUAUCAGACAAGAUUACCCGCUAAAUUUAAGCAUAUUAUUCAGCGGAGGAAAAGAAAGCAAAAGCGAUUCCCUUAGUAACGGCGAGUGAAA